rnacentral:rRNA from 1 species
CCUACGGGAGGCAGCAGUGGGGAAUAUUGGACAAUGGGGGGAACCCUGAUCCAGUGACGCCGCGUGAGUGAAGAAGUAUUUCGGUAUGUAAAGCUCUAUCAGCAGGGAAGAAAGAAAUGACGGUACCUGACUACGAAGCCCCGGCUAACUACGUGCCAGCAGCCGCGGUAAUACGUAGGGGGCAAGCGUUAUCCGGAUUUACUGGGUGUAAAGGGAGCGUAGACGGCGAUGCAAGUCUGAAGUGAAAGGCGGGGGCCCAACCCCCGGACUGCUUUGGAAACUGUAUGGCUGGAGUGCAGGAGAGGUAAGUGGAAUUCCUAGUGUAGCGGUGAAAUGCGUAGAUAUUAGGAGGAACACCAGUGGCGAAGGCGGCUUACUGGACUGUAACUGACGUUGAGGCUCGAAAGCGUGGGGAGCAAACAGGAUUAGAUACCCCGGUAGUC